AUUGAACGCUGGCGGCAGGCCUAACACAUGCAAGUCGAACGAGUGGCGGACGGGUGAGUAAUGUCUGGGAAACUGCCUGAUGGAGGGGGAUAACUACUGGAAACGGUAGCUAAUACCGCAUACCAUCAGAUGUGCCCAGAUGGGAUUAGCUAGUUGGUGGGGUAACGGCUCACCAAGGCGACGAUCCCUAGCUGGUCUGAGAGGAUGACCAGCCAAACUGGAACUGGAAAACGGUCCAGACUCCUACGGGGGGCAGCGGGGGGGAAUAUUGCACAAUGGGGGCAACCCUGAUGCAGCCAUGCCGCGUGUAUAAAGAGGGCCUUCGGGUUGUAAGGUACUUUCGGCGGGGAGGCGUUACCCGCAGAAGAAGCACCGGCUAACUCCGUGCCAGCAGCCGCGUAAUAC
rnacentral:rRNA from 1 species